ACCACCUCCAUGAUGCGCUUGCUCGCCGCCACAGAGAACUCUCGCCUGUCACCUGGAAGUCGUGAAGAUCCAAACAAGAUGCUUUGUAAAUAGCCGCCAUUGUUUUUUUUUCAGACAACAGCACUCAUUACAGAAUCAUUAACAGGGCAUAUCAUCUUACAGCAUCACCGUCACAUCACAAUGCUAUUCCCAGCGUUUUGGUUUCCGCAGUCUGGCAGACAUGAUGUCAUUCGCUACUCAGAAGUGCCAUCUUGGAAGUCUGGACUCCGCUUAUGGCUAUGCAAUGUAAGUGAGAGAGAGUGUGCGUGUGUGUGUGGGUGUACUCUGAGGGAAGACGUAACUCCAAAGUGGCCCGUGAAAAAAUGAAUUUGACACCCCUGAUUUACAGCUUUUGUUGAUUUGGCA